rnacentral:rRNA from 1 species
GACGAACGCUGGCGGCGUGCUUAACACAUGCAAGUCGAACGGAAAGGCCCUGCUUUUGUGGGGUUCUCGAGUGGCGAACGUGUGUGUAACACGUGAGUAACCUUCCCUUUACUUUGUUAUAUCUUCAGGAAACUGCUGCUACUACCUGCUAUGAGCUCCUGCUCCAUGGUGGGGGUUGGAAAUUUUCGGCGGUUGGGUAUGGACUCGCGGGUUCUCAUCUUGUUGGUUGGGUAGUGGCUUACCAAGGCUUUGACGGGUAGCCGGCCUGAGAGGGUUAACGGGGACAUUGGGACUGAGAGACGGACCAGAGGGGUACGGGAGGCAGCAGGGGGGAAUAUGGCACAAUGGGCGGAAGCGUGAUGAAGAAACGCGGCGUGCGGGAUGACGGCCUUCGGGUGGUAAACCGCUUUAGGCUGUGACGAAGCGGGAGUGACGGUAAUGGGUAAAGAAGCACCGGCUAACUACGUG